CCCUGACACAAGGCUGCAGGGCUCACAAGCACUGACAAUUCACUCAUCAGUUUCAGGACCCAUGAAGACAGAGCCACAGAUUCCCCUGAACAGAAUGGCAAUUUUCGUGUGGUGUUAAUUUCCGUGGAAGAAGAAAAGGCUCGACUCUCUGUCCUAUUUUUCAUGAAUACUGGAAGUAGGGAAUAAACCUGGAGUCUCACGGGUGAAAAGAGACAUUUCCAUAUCACCAGACCACAAACGUGGGUGUUGAUUCUAAGGAUACCCCCAAUAAACAUCUUUCGUGCUAAAGCCCAUUCCAGAAUUUACUUCCCAGCUAUCUUUGAUGUUCAUAUUGUCAGAGGUGGUGGCCGCUGAAACAGGCAAAGACAUGGAGCAUAUCUUGGGUCCAGGUAAAGGAGGUGGGUGCACACAAGUGAAAAGAUGUUGCUGAAGUCACGUGGCUUCAAGCAGUAGAGCUGACUGUCCUCUAGUCCAGUUGUCCCUACAGGAUAAAAGCUUCUCUCCAUUACAGAGACCUUGGGAGUCCAGAGGAAGGUCUUUUUACCAUCAGCAUUCUCUACUGUGUUCAAUGACUGUCAGCCAAAGAUGGCCAGGUUCUCUACUGUGAUGGUGAAUUUUAUGUGUCAAUUUGACUGGACCAUGGGAUGCCCAGGUACUUGGUGAAACAUUUCUCUGAGGAUGUCUCUGGCUUUCCUUCAGAAAGAAAUGCAUUCAAAGAACCUACAUUCACAACAUAAAGAAAUAAAGCACACACAAGACCGCCAAGCAUUAAGAUUCUCCUGUGGAGCCAGGCUACAAUCCUUUAAAUGAAGACAGACAGCUAGGUGGCUGCAGCCCAGCGCUACACCUCACCCCUCCCUCAGUGUCAUGCAGAAAAAAUGUAUUCAGAACUCAGAAGUGAAGUUGUGCAAAUCCAUCAUUGACACUAGCUUCAAGGUUACCUCGGGGGAGCAGAAUGUACCCCUGCCAGAGAGCUGGAUAGAUGAUGAUGGGGACAGAAAUUCUGGGGGAGUUGUAAAUGGCAGCCACUGCCUCUAUAGGAAACCCAAAGGGAACACAGCAGAAGAGGAGGUGGUGGAGGAGCCACUGCCCUCUCGAAGGGUUCAAUGUCAUUCUGCAGACACAACCAAAUAACUUUUUCUUCCCUGCUGCUCCUCCAUUUGAAAUGACAGCCCCGAGCUCGCUUUUUCCUUGAUUGUGUAACUCUGAUUACAGACAAGGCCAAGGCAAUCCCAGGGCAUUACUACAAAGCUAAGGGGUCCCCAAAGAACUAAAGAGUCAGCUCCACAAAAAUCCCGAUUCCUAGCAUGAAACUGAAAUAUGAAACCAAACGGGCAUAGAAAAGGUAUGUGCAUUCGAAUCACAUAGCAGUGACUGGAGUCCUGAGCUGUGUCUGAAGACUGUGAGAUCACGUUUGGAGCUGCUGAUUGGUUUUCAGUGAUGGCCCUGUUGCACAGUGCCGUGAGACUUAGCUCCAUGGCCAAAGACGAUGGUAUCCCCUAGGAGCCCUGUGAGGUUGCUGCUGUUCUCUUAAGACACCAGGUAGCCAUCUGAUCCUCCCUGAGCAAACUAACUGGGCAGACAGGUUUAUUAAACCUCUGUUGGUCCGACUUACAUGAAACAAGAGAGUUAUUUUGUUGUUGUUGUUUUGUUUUGUUUUAAAUUAAACCUGUCUUUGGAGCCUCCUGCUCUUAGUUUACAAGUCUUCUUUGCACACUCUAAUAUUUUAAGAAGCAGCAAACAUUAACUGAGGGUCUA
rnacentral:lncRNA from 10 species